GAACGCUGGCGGCGUGCCUAAUACAUGCAAGUCGAACGAGUUCUGAUUAUUGAAAGGUGCUUGCAUCUUGAUUUAAUUUUGAACGAGUGGCGGACGGGUGAGUAACACGUGGGUAACCUGCCCUUAAGUGGGGGAUAACAUUUGGAAACAGAUGCUAAUACCGCAUAAAUCCAAGAACCGCAUGGUUCUUGGCUGAAAGAUGGCGUAAGCUAUCGCUUUUGGAUGGACCCGCGGCGUAUUAGCUAGUUGGUGAGGUAACGGCUCACCAAGGCAAUGAUACGUAGCCGAACUGAGAGGUUGAUCGGCCACAUUGGGACUGAGACACGGCCCAAACUCCUACGGGAGGCAGCAGUAGGGAAUCUUCCACAAUGGACGCAAGUCUGAUGGAGCAACGCCGCGUGAGUGAAGAAGGCUUUCGGGUCGUAAAACUCUGUUGUUGGAGAAGAAUGGUCGGCAGAGUAACUGUUGUCGGCGUGACGGUAUCCAACCAGAAAGCCACGGCUAACUACGUGCCAGCAGCCGCGGUAAUACGUAGGUGGCAAGCGUUAUCCGGAUUUAUUGGGCGUAAAGCGAGCGCAGGCGGUUUUUUAAGUCUGAUGUGAAAGCCCUCGGCUUAACCGAGGAAGUGCAUCGGAAACUGGGAAACUUGAGUGCAGAAGAGGACAGUGGAACUCCAUGUGUAGCGGUGAAAUGCGUAGAUAUAUGGAAGAACACCAGUGGCGAAGGCGGCUGUCUGGUCUGUAACUGACGCUGAGGCUCGAAAGCAUGGGGUAGCGAACAGGAUUAGAUACCCUGGUAGUCCAUGCCGUAAACGAUGAAUGCUAGGUGUUGGAGGGUUUCCGCCCUUCAGUGCCGCAGCUAACGCAUUAAGCAUUCCGCCUGGGGAGUACGACCGCAAGGUUGAAACUCAAAGGAAUUGACGGGGGCCCGCACAAGCGGUGGAGCAUGUGGUUUAAUUCGAAGCAACGCGAAGAACCUUACCAGGUCUUGACAUCUUUUGAUCACCUGAGAGAUCAGGUUUCCCCUUCGGGGGCAAAAUGACAGGUGGUGCAUGGUUGUCGUCAGCUCGUGUCGUGAGAUGUUGGGUUAAGUCCCGCAACGAGCGCAACCCUUAUGACUAGUUGCCAGCAUUUAGUUGGGCACUCUAGUAAGACUGCCGGUGACAAACCGGAGGAAGGUGGGGAUGACGUCAAAUCAUCAUGCCCCUUAUGACCUGGGCUACACACGUGCUACAAUGGAUGGUACAACGAGUUGCGAGACCGCGAGGUCAAGCUAAUCUCUUAAAGCCAUUCUCAGUUCGGACUGUAGGCUGCAACUCGCCUACACGAAGUCGGAAUCGCUAGUAAUCGCGGAUCAGCACGCCGCGGUGAAUACGUUCCCGGGCCUUGUACACACCGCCCGUCACACCAUGAGAGUUUAUAACACCCGAAGCCGGUGGCGUAACCCUUUUAGGGAGCGAGCCGUCUAAGGUGGGACAAAUGAUUAG
rnacentral:rRNA from 1 species